GUAGUCAUAUGCUUGUCUCAAAGAUUAAGCCAUGCAUGUCUAAGUAUAAGCAACUACACUGUGAAACUGCGAAUGGCUCAUUAAAUCAGUUAUCGUUUAUUUGAUAGUACCUUACUACUUGGAUAACCGUGGUAAUUCUAGAGCUAAUACAUGCGCAAAACCCCGACUUCGGAAGGGGUGUAUUUAUUAGAUAAAAAACCAAUGCCCUUCGGGGCUCUCUGGUGAUUCAUAAUAACUAAACGAAUCGCAUGGCCUUGCGCCGGCGAUGGUUCAUUCAAAUUUCUGCCCUAUCAACUUUCGAUUGUUAAGUAGUGGUUAACAAUGGUUUCAACGGGUAACGGGGAAUUAGGGUUCGACUCCGGAGAGGGAGCCUGAGAAACGGCUACCACAUCCAAGGAAGGCAGCAGGCGCGCAAAUUACCCAAUCCCGACACGGGGAGGUAGUGACAAUAAAUACUGAUACAGGGCUCUUUUGGGUCUUGUAAUUGGAAUGAGUACAAUUUAAAUCCCUUAACGAGGAACAAUUGGGGGGCAAGUCUGGUGCCAGCAGCC
rnacentral:rRNA from 1 species